rnacentral:rRNA from 1 species
AGCAGCCGCGGUAAUUCCAGCUCCAAUAGCGUAUAUUUAAGUUGUUGCAGUUAAAAAGCUCGUAGUUGAAUUUCGGGAUCAAUAUAUCGGUCGUGCCUUGGUACGUACUGGUAUCAUUGGUUUCUCCUUUCUGACGAACCAUGAUGUCAUUAAUUUGGUGUCGUGGGGAAUCAGGACUGUUACUUUGAAAAAAUUAGAGUGUUUAAAGCAAGCGCACGCUUGAAUACAUUAGCAUGGAAUAAUGAAAUAGGACGUUUGAUUCUAUUUUGUUGGUUUCUAGGAUCGACGUAAUGAUUAAUAGGGAUAGUUGGGGGCAUUAGUAUUCAAUUGUCAGAGGUGAAAUUCUUGGAUUUAUUGAAGACUAACUACUGCGAAAGCAUUUGCCAAGGAUGUUUCAUUAAUCAAGACGAAAGUUAGGGGAUCGAAGACGAGUCAGAUACCGUCGUAGUCUUAACCAUAAACUAUGCCGACUAGGGAUCGGAUGAUGUAAUUUUUUAAUG